UGGUACCCAACAUGUGGGGCUCGAGAACGGGGGAUCCAGUGAGGGAGGCUGUUUGUGAAGCCAGCACAAAGACAGAAUGGAGGGAAAACAAAAGAGGGAAAGUUUAUGUGGGAGCCUGCUGCAUUUUCUGCACCUCAGUAAAUAAACAGUGAUUAUGGGAUAGGAAAUGAGCUAACACGAGAUCUUGAUUGAAAGUUUAGAAAAGGCUCUAAAGGCACGAGGAGUAAAGGUUAAAAUUAAACAAUUGUGUCAAUAUUUUGAUUAUAUAAAAGAAGUUUGUCCUU
rfam:Cavia porcellus supercont2_36 genomic scaffold, whole genome shotgun sequence.